AGGAUUCGUAUUGGGCGAGCUCCCAUUGAACGGACACCCUGUGCUAGCAGAGUUUCUGCCCUUGAAAAAACAUUGAGGGGAUACGCAGAGAAAAGGACAGACACCGUCGUGGUACCAGCUGUUGGAUACACAUUUGAUUCAUUGGGAGAAGCAUAUGACUUCUACAACUUGUACUCGUGGGAGAUCGGAUUUGGGAUAAGAUAUGGCAAAAGUAGGUUGAACGUUGAAAGAACCAAAUGUAUGCAAGAAAUAGUUUGUGGAUGCUCGGGCAAACCAAAGAGAGGAAACACACGGACAUGCCGAUGUGAGUGCCCUGCAAUGAUACGUUUGCUACGAUCAAAUGACAAUGGCUGGUACAUAUGUGAGCACAGACCAUCCCACAACCAUGUGUUGACAGAUAAAUGUGGUGAAAAGGUGUACUGGCCUUCACAUAAACAUAUAGAUAUGUACACAAGAGACAUUGUCAAACAGCUUAGGGAGAACAACAUCAGCAUUGGAAAAGUUUACAACAUAAUCGGUAGUUUCUUCGGAUCAAUGAAUAAUGUGCCUUUCACCAAAAGGGCUCUCAGGGGUCUAUGUGGUGAAAUCAGCUGCGACCAGGCAGAUGAUGAUGUCCGGAAAACAAUGGAUGUAUUUGCAGAAUUGGGUUCAAAGGACUCUGGUUUGUACUACAGGGUACAAUCAGACAGUGAUAGCCGGGUAUGGAAUAUGCUGUGGUCAACUGGUGCAAGCAGAAUGCAGUACCACUAUUUUGGAGAUGCAAUAACAUUUGACACAACAUACCGUACAAACCUGUAUGAUAUGCCAUUUGGGCUGUUUGUUGGAGUUAACAACCAUUUUCAGAGCGUUAUCUUUGGUGGCGUGCUUGUUAGGGAUGAGACAGCUGAAACUUUCGAGUGGGUGUUCAGUGAAUUCAUACGCAUGAUGGGCGGCAAGCAUCCUCAAACCAUUCUUACAGAUCAAUGUAGAGCUAUGGAGCUUGCAAUAGAGAAAGUAAUGCCAGACAGUACACACCGCUGGUGCAAGUGGCACAUCUUGAAGAAGGCAAAGGAAAAACUUGGCACAUACUACUCCAAACGAAGCAACUUCAGAGCAGAG
rnacentral:rRNA from 1 species